rnacentral:misc_RNA from 1 species
GAAAUGCGAUAAGUAGUGUGAAUUGCAGAAUUCAGUGAAUCAUCGAAUCUUGGAACGCACAUUGCGCCCCUUGGUAUUCCAUGGGGCAUGCCUGUUCGAGCGUCAUUUGUACCCUCAAGCUCUGCUUGGUGUUGGGUGUUUGUCCCCGUCUCCGCGCGUGGACUCGCCCCAAAGUGAUUGGCAGCCGGCGUACUGGUCCCGGAGCGCAGCACAUGUCGCGCAAACGAGUGCCUUGGUACGGCGGCGUCCAUAAGCCCCUCUCUCACGCUCUUGACCUCGGAUCAGGUAGGGAUACCCGCUGAACUUAAGC